rnacentral:rRNA from 1 species
AUUGAACGCUGGCGGCAUGCUUUACACAUGCAAGUCGAACGGUAACAGGCCGCAAGGUGCUGACGAGUGGCGAACGGGUGAGUAAUGCAUCGGAACGUGCCCAGUCGUGGGGGAUAACGCAGCGAAAGCUGCGCUAAUACCGCAUACGAUCUAGGGAUGAAAGCGGGGGACCGCAAGGCCUUGCGCGAUUGGAGCGGCCGAUGUCAGAUUAGGGAGUUGGUGGGGUAAAGGCUCACCAAGCCAACGAUCUGUAGCUGGUCUGAUAGGACGACCAGCCACACUGGGACUGAGACACGGCCCAGACUCCUACGGGAGGCAGCAGUGGGGAAGUUUGGACAAUGGGCGCAAGCCUGAUCCAGCAAUGCCGCGUGCAGGAAGAAGGCCUUCGGGUUGUAAACUGCUUUUGUACGGCACGAAACGGCUCUGGUUAAUACCUGGGGCUAAUGACGGUACCGUAAGAAUAAGCACCGGCUAACUACGUGCCAGCCGCCGCCGUAACAC